ACGUCUUUGUAUUUGACAGAAUACAACAACGUUUUUUAAGAAAUCACCGUCCUUGUUGCAGUUUUACAAAUUAAAAUAAAAUUUUAGAAACUGCGCCAUUACCUUUUAUCUCUUUGCCCUUCCUAUCUGUUGUGAGCACGCCCUAGCUAGCAAUCUCCUUCGUAGCAAACCUCUGUGGUGCCCUCCCUGGUCUGCUUCUGCAUUUCAUCGGUGCCGGUAACUUGUCCGGGCUAGGUUUUGUCCAACUUUUGUGAGCUUGAUAGCUUCUGGAUUUCGAGGUUCAGACCCUCCACAGAACAAGAAGAAGAAGAUAACAAAGAAGGGGAGAUAAAGGUUCCUAUAAAUGCUGCUGGUUUGAUCAGAUAUAACUGGUGCCACCCCUUUUUUGGUAAAAUUAUCAUCCAUCUCAUGAAUAUGAUAAUAUAUAGCUCACUGCUGCAGCUGUGAAAGAUUGGAGGUUCCUAUAUCAAUAUCCUUUUGGGUUGAGUAGGUGGCUACCUUACCCUCUGGUUGACUUGGUUCCUAUAAAUUCUACUGGUUUGAUCAGAUAUAGGUGGUGCCACCCCUUUUUUGGUAAAAUUAUCGUCCAUGUCAUGAAUAUGAUAAUAUACAGCUCACUGCUGCAGCUGUGAAAGAUUGGAGAUACUGGAAGGACUUCUUGAACUACUACAGAAUAAAGAAUGUGCUCACUGGAAAGCUAAGUAUGUAUCUGGCUGGAUCUAAAUG